AGAUGCUGGGGAGUGUGGUAGAAAGAUCUUCAUCAACUGCUCAAGGUGACCAUGUCUGGUUUCUUUGCCCAGGAAUUACUUGCAUCUGUCUGGCCACAUUUGAUAACAAGCUAUCCCUAAGCAGUUACAGCCAGGUUGUCCUAGCUGCUGAUGGGGACGUGCAAGAGGAUAGUUGUUACAGGAAGGAAGAGACUGCAUUUCUGGAAGGGCCUCUUUUACCUGGAGCUUCACAAGGUACAUGAGCAGCGCUGGACUAAGGAAGGCACGACUGAUGGGUAACAGAGAAGCACAACAUGAUGGCCUUCAGGAGAACCAGCACAAUGCUGCUGACUACGGAGCGGCAGCGUUUCUAAACCUUCCUCUAGGGCACACAGCUCCUGAGCCCAACAGGAAAGGCACAGCAGGCUGUAUCUGAAGAGCACAUUAGGGUUUAAAGGAGGAUGU